GAUGAACGCUGGCGGCGUGCUUAACACAUGCAAGUCGAACGAUGAAGCCCAGCUUGCUGGGUGGAUUAGUGGCGAACGGGUGAGUAACACGUGAGUAACCUGCCCUUAACUCUGGGAUAAGCCUUGGAAACUGGGUCUAAUACCGGAUAGGAGCGUCCACCGCAUGGUGGGUGUUGGAAAGAUUUAUCGGUUUUGGAUGGACUCGCGGCCUAUCACCUUGUUGGUGAGGUAAUGGCUCACCAAGGCGACGACGGGUAGCCGGCCUGAGAGGGUGACCGGCCACACUGGGACUGAGACACGGCCCAGACUCCUACGGGAGGCAGCAGUGGGGAAUAUUGCACAAUGGGCGCAAGCCUGAUGCAGCGACGCCGCGUGAGGGAUGACGGCCUUCGGGUUGUAAACCUCUUUCCGUAGGGAAGAAGCGAAAGUGACGGUACCUGCAGAAGAAGCACCGGCUAACUACGUG
rnacentral:rRNA from 1 species